AAAUGUCACUGUCUUCCUGAUGCCAUUUUAUUAUUUUUAUCUCCAGUCAUAGGCGGAGGGAUAUUGUUUUGGCAUUGUCCGUCAUUCCGUCUUUCCGUCCGUCCAGAGCCAUAUCUUGGACGUGCUUUGGCCGAUUUCAUUGAAACUUGGCGCCUUACACUCACCAGUGGGGUCACCAGGUUCCCUCACUCUAAAACGGUCCCAACAUCUCAACAGAUCACUUGCAUUCCCAUAAAACAACGCUGAGCUAAUGAACAUUGCCACAACGCCAAAAUAAAGGGUACUCCAGGCCCAAUGUCACCGCGGUACCAAUCCGGGCUCCUUCAGCCGCCAUCCAGGUUGAGCAUUGUGGGUCCCAGCAGAAGGAUAAUUAUGCCCAUGGGCUCGCAACUAUCCACGACUCUCACAGCAGCAGUGGAACAACAUGGUGGCCAAGCAAGAGGCACCCCAAUACAUCAAUCGCCACAGAUCAUUGUCUGGUGACAAUCAGCAACCCACGGUAUCCUAGCAACCAGGCCAUGUUCGCACAGCAACAAUAACAUCAGCAGCAGCAAGACUCGGUUCAGCCAUCUUCAAUGCUUGGACAGCAACCUAAUUGCAGCACUUUAUAAAGACGCCAGCUCAAGCCCAUUUGGUUCCCAGGGCCUUUGAUGUGACCCUCUUCACAUCUAUCCCAGCGCCAUGUGUUGCCCUGGUCUACAGCACCGUAUCUAUGGCAACACUAUUCGCUACAGAAUCCGUGAUGUCAACCCAGUACCCAUUUUGGGGUAUAGGUAAGUUUCAGGGUCGCGUGGGUCUGAAAGGUCAUGGCGAUAUGGACAUGUUUGACAAGGAAGUGGGGCCUGUGGGCUUUGUUCCUUUAAAAUUGAUUGUUACUGCAAGAUUUGUUUGAAAUGGAAACAACGGAAAAAAAAUAAUGACCAGUAGAAGUAAUUAUCUACUAUAUAAACUGACUAUGUAUACAUGUUAACAAUAAUUAAGCAUUACUUAAUGGUUACCUUUCGUUAAAAUAAGCAGUCAACAAUUUGUGGGGUUUCAUGCUGUUCGGUCAUUACUUUGACCCCAUCUUAACUCAGUAUUCCCUCUGUUACCAGCAAGACCCAGCGUAACAGUUGUCACAGUAUUGAUAGUUCAAAGUAUUUUCUUUUGAGAACAAUUUGACUGAACCCAAAAUCUAUUAAAUAUCUGUAGUUUGUUUCAUAAGUUUGACAUUGAUUAACUAAGUCCUCAUAUUAAAGUAUUGCAUUGAAGGAAUACAAUUGAGAAUCGUUGGACUAAUGAUAUCCAAUGGCUUGCCCAAUAUGAAGUUUCAAAAUGUGUACUUUUCUAAAUAUGUAUAUACCCCUAUUGUUCAGUGAAAUGUUGAAUAAUAACCCAUCGGUAAUUAUCAUCAACAUAAAAAAUACCACAUACGGAUAACUUGCACGAUAUCUAUUUUUUAGGAAUUAAACAAUAAAAUAAACAUGUUUUAUAAAAUGAUUGCUGUAGAUAAUUGUUAGUUCUACAUUUAAAUGUGAAUAUUCCGGGGUCUUCACAGUUUCAGUUUAACAAAUGUCGGGUUGUGUGAUUUUUUUUUUAAUGGAAAGAAUGAAUCUGCGCUAGCCAUAGACAUGUUUUACUUCUCAAUGAAUUCUGAAAUAAAAUUCAGUAUUACUAUAAAAUCAACAACUAUCUUUCCUUGAAAAAUUAUAAGUUUUUCAUCGGCAAAGCUCACAUGAUAAGCAUUCAAUUUUCUUUAUUAGGUCAGUAGCUUUUUCAUUACCUGCAAGCAACGUUAAAUGGCUUUGAAAUAAACAUGACCAUGUCAUGAAGUGUAGCAAAUUAUGUUCCCGGAUAUACUGUGGAAAUAAUGAUACAAAGUAACAUCAAUUUAUUUUAUGGCUUCUUACUGAUCCGGAACGAUGUGGGUAUACAAUACAGGGCAGUGAAUGCAUAUGUUGUUUCAGCAACACUAUCUGCCUGUACAUGGUAAGUAAGAAGUUACAUGUAUGUAACUGCAGAUUAUGUUCUUUCACAGCAAUGUGCCCCUAGAUACAAACAUCGUCACAGAUCUCUCUCCAAUCGCUUGAAGCUUUACACAUCACCAAACUGCUUCAUAUUUAGCUACCAGCAGUAUCCAUGCAACAGUAUCCAUGCAACAAACCCAUUAUUGCCCAGCAACAGCUUCAUCAGCAGCAGUGGUCAGGUUGACUCACACCGCUCAGAGCAGAUCAGCGGGCUUUCAUGUGGCAGCACAACAAAUCAAAGAGAUCCAUGCGAGGUCAGCCCUCUCAACAGUGCCAUACCCAUGACGAUGAAGUCCUCCAACUCGCCCCAGUACUCACCUUGGUGUCAGGGAAAGGUUCAAGGUCACAUAGGCUUUGGUGACCUUUGCAAGAUUGCAUGUUGGACUGGAGUGAUGAGACAUUUUCCAUUUCAAUUAAGAUUGCAUUGCAAUUAUUUUCUCUUUAAUCAAUACUAAAAAUGAUUGUUAUUACGAAAGGAAUACUUAUGCGUUCUAUUGAUAAACGUCUCCAAACAUAUUAACCUGAGAUUGAUGUUGGACCCUUGGAUAUUUCGUGUUUAUUUAGUGUUGACAUUAAUGGAGUUUUUAGACAAAACUGGAAUGUUAGCGCAUUUCAUAUCCCAUCCUAUAUCGCCAAAUUGAUGGUUUGACUUUUAGAUAUUUGGAAAUGAGGAGGUGAAAAAGAAACAAACACUGUUACAUGUCAGUUUUAAUUCACCCAAAGUAUUUUUUAUUUAACCAACAGCCCCAUGAUCAUCAUGACCAUGCUUGUUCAUUGCCCUCAGACCCUUUGUUAAAAAAACAAUCAAAAUGACUAAGUGAAGUUAACAACAAUGCAUCUUCCUUUUUUUCAGACACUAAUCAACGAAAUUAAACCGGCCAAUUAGAAAAACAUCCUGUUUCAUCAGUUAGUUAU